rnacentral:tRNA from 28 species
CGGGACUGACGGGGCUCGAACCCGCAACUUCC